rnacentral:rRNA from 1 species
GACGAACGCUGGCGGUGUGCUUUAGACAUGCAAGUCGAACGAGAAAGCCCUUCGGGUUAGUAAAGUAGGCGAACGGGUGAGUAACACGUGGGCAAUCUGCCCCUCGCAGGGGGACGAACCGGAGGAAACCCCGGCUAAUACCCCGUAACGUUCAAAGGGAGGCAUCUCCCCUUGAAGAAAGGUAGCUUCGGCCAUCCGGCGAGGGAUGAGCCCGCGGUGCAUUAGCUAGUUGGUGGGGGUAACGGCCCACCAAGGCGACGAUGCAUAGCUGGUCUGAGAGGAUGAUCAGCCACACUGGGACUGAGACACGGCCCAGACUCCUACGGGAGGCAGCAGUCGGGAAUCUUGCGCAAUGGGCGAAAGCCUGACGCAGCAACACCGUGUGUGUGAGGAA